ACUGGACCGGACUCAUUCGGUCCGGUCCGGUCCGGUCCAAAAAUGACCGGUCCGGUCGGUUUUUCCGGUCCGGACCGUUAGACUUUCAGCCCUAGAUGACAUGUAAUUGAUUAAUGAAACGAUGUGGAUCGCGUUUGGUAGGAGACGAAAUUGAAAAUGGAAUGGAAAAAUGUUAAUGAAACAGUGCGGAUUGGAGGGUGGGAGACGAAAUUGAGAGAGACGUCGGUGCUGGGUUAUUCCCUUCUCCUUCUUCCCCAUUUCCCCAGAACCUUCUCCCCUGUCGAAGAUGUGAAGCUCCCCUUGUAGCUUCUGCAAGCUAGAGACUCAGCCUGCUGUGAUUUUCUACGGCCUCACUCUGCAAGCCAGUUCAGUCAGCAUUGGAAGAAUGGGUGGUUUGUCGUGUUUUCCAAAAGAGUGUAGUGAAAAAACCACAGCAGAUCACACCAAUAUCAUCAUAGCUGACAUCUGAUCUUGAGCCUCCAUGUGAAACAAAGUCAAAUGUAAAUGAAUUCGGAGACGUUGAGUUACCAAACCUAAAUAGCAAUAUUGCAAAUUCAUCAAGUAGAUGAUUUGAGUUCUAACUUGCAGUCCUCUUCCUCUAAAGUCUUGGAAUCUCAAGUACAGCAACAGUUGGAGCAACCAUUCAAUUUGAACUCCAUUUGGUGAAGAAACCAAGCUAAAGUACUGUGAGAACUAACUUCUUGUUAAAAAACUCCUAAACAUGCCUGAACAUGAUAUAUAUAUAUAUAUAUAUAUAUAUAUAUCUAUAUAUAUAUAUAUGUAUAUUAUAUGAAAUAUCAACCCUAGAACUCUUCAAUUGUACUUGUCAUAAGGGGCCAAGCAAAUGCUACUGACAUUGUAUCUUAGUUUGUCCAGCUGGUUAAUUUAGUUAAAUUUUAAAAUGGAGAAACUUAAUUCCCAUUUGUUUAUGUUGUUAAUUAAUGGUCAAGCUUAAUGUCAGAUUAUUGGGGAAAUAUUGUAACUCUCGACUCCUGAUGAUCUUGUAGUAAUGUUCGACUGAUUAGGACC